AGAGCACUCCUACGGGGGCAGCAGUGGGGAAUAUUGCACAAUGGGCGCAAGCCUGAUGCAGCCAUGCCGCGUGUAUGAAGAAGGCCUUCGGGUUGUAAAGUACUUUCAGCAGUGAGGAAGGUGGGUAUGUUAAUAGCAUAUUCAUUUGACGUUAGCUGCAGAAGAAGCACCGGCUAACUCCGUGCCAGCAGCCGCGGUAAUACGGAGGGUGCGAGCGUUAAUCGGAAUUACUGGGCGUAAAGCGCAUGCAGGUGGUUUGUUAAGUCAGAUGUGAAAGCCCGGGGCUCAACCUCGGAAUUGCAUUUGAAACUGGCAAACUAGAGUACUGUAGAGGGGGUAGAAUUUCAGGUGUAGCGGUGAAAUGCGUAGAGAUCUGAAGGAAUACCGGUGGCGAAGGCGGCCCCCUGGACAGAUACUGACACUCAGAUGCGAAAGCGUGGGGAGCAAACAGGAUUAGAUACCCUGGUAG
rnacentral:rRNA from 1 species